UGGGGGAAUAUUGCACAAUGGGCGCAAGCCUGAUGCAGCAACGCCGCGUGAGGGAUGACGGCCUUCGGGUUGUAAACCUCUUUUUAGUAGGGAAGAAGCGAAAGUGACGGUACCUGCAGAAAAAGCACCGGCUAACUACGUGCCAGCAGCCGCGGUAAUACGUAGGGUGCGAGCGUUGUCCGGAAUUAUUGGGCGUAAAGAGCUCGUAGGCGGUCUGUCGCGUCUGCUGUGAAAACCCGAGGCUCAACCUCGGGCCUGCAGUGGGUACGGGCAGACUAGAGUGCGGUAGGGGAGAAUGGAAUUCCUGGUGUAGCGGUGGAAUGCGCAGAUAUCAGGAGGAACACCGAUGGCGAAGGCAGUUCUCUGGGCCGUAACUGACGCUGAGGAGCGAAAGCGUGGGGAGCGAACAGGAUUAGAUACCCUGGUAGUCCACGCCGUAAACGUUGGGCGCUAGAUGUGGGGGACCAUUCCACGGUUUCCGUGUCGCAGCU
rnacentral:rRNA from 1 species